rnacentral:sRNA from 1 species
UUCCUGCUUAGUAUGCCGUAUAUCUCUUUCACUACAGUUUGGAAAGCUUCCGCGACAUUUGAUGAGUCCAAGGCUGAGGUCUCCAUGAAGAAGAGGCCCUGUGACUCAGCCAGAGCUUUGCCUUCUGCGGUGCUCACCUCACGCGCAUGCUUGAGAUCGGUCUUGUUGCCAACAAGAAUUUGAAAUGCUGGUUCUUACUGUGCAGUUCAUUCAGCCAUCGACCAACACUAUCAAAAGUCUGACGCCUGCUAAUAUCAUAAACAAGUAGGGCUCCAACAGCUCCUCUAUAGUAGGCAGAUGUGACUGCUCUGAAGCGCUCUUGUCCAGCAGUGUCCCAUAUCUGAGCUUUGAUUUCCUUGCCAUCAAUUACCAACUUUUGUGUCUGGAACUCCACUCCAAUAGUAGAUUUAGAGUUUGGAUAGAACUCGUUCCUUGCAAAUCUUGCCAGCAAAUUUGAUUUACCGACAGAAGAGUCACCAAGUAGAACAAUCUUGAAUAGAUAA